GUUUGAUCAUGGCUCAGAUUGAACGCUGGCGGCAUGCCUUACACAUGCAAGUCGAACGGCAGCACGGGUGCUUGCACCUGGUGGCGAGUGGCGAACGGGUGAGUAAUAUAUCGGAACGUGCCUCAUAGUGGGGGAUAACGCAGCGAAAGCUGUGCUAAUACCGCAUACGCCCUGAGGGGGAAAGCGGGGGACCGUAAGGCCUCGCGCUAUGAGAGCGGCCGAUACCUGAUUAGCUUGUUGGUGGGGUAAAAGCCCACCAAGGCGACGAUCAGUAGCUGGUCUGAGAGGACGAUCAGCCACACUGGGACUGAGACACGGCCCAGACUCCUACGGGAGGCAGCAGUGGGGAAUUUUGGACAAUGGGGGCAACCCUGAUCCAGCAAUGCCGCGUGAGUGAAGAAGGCCUUCGGGUUGUAAAGCUCUUUUGUCAGGGAAGAAACAGCAGCUCUAACACAGUCUGCGAAUGACGGUACCUGAAGAAUAAGCACCGGCUAACUACGUGCCAGCAGCCGCGGUAAUACGUAGGGUGCGAGCGUUAAUCGGAAUUACUGGGCGUAAAGCGUGCGCAGGCGGUUAUACAAGACAGGCGUGAAAUCCCCGGGCUUAACCUGGGAAUGGCGCCUGUGACUGUAUAGCUAGAGUGUGUCAGAGGGGGGUAGAAUUCCACGUGUAGCAGUGAAAUGCGUAGAUAUGUGGAGGAAUACCAAUGGCGAAAGGCAGCCCCCUGGGAUAAC
rnacentral:rRNA from 1 species